rnacentral:lncRNA from 1 species
UGGUAAAAAUCAUAAAAAUAACUAAUGGAGCUCUUAAUUUAAGUAAAUUCAUUCAUCAUAAGUAAAAUCAUUUAUUGCAUACUUACCGUUGCAAGAUUUCUAAAACUGACCUAUAGAGAUAAUAGCUCAACAACAUCAUAAUCUCAUAUUCAAAUAAGCAAGAAUAACAACUUUCUCUUUUUAUUUGCUUACUGGUAUUCAUGGGGGUCCAUGGGGAUGUCCCACUACGCGUGAACCAACAUCCAACCCUGUCAACUAACCGAUCGUCCCAUAUCCUGUCUGGUAUGAGCGCUAAAAAUACU